CGUAGGUGGCAAGCGUUGUCCGGAUUUACUGGGCGUAAAGCGUGCGCAGGCGGACGGGUAAGUAGGAAGUGAAAGGUUGGAGCUCAACUCCAACACUGCUCCCUAUACUGCCUGUCUUGAAUGUCGGAGAGGAAGAGGGAACGACACGUGUAGCGGUGAAAUGCGUUGAGAUGUGUCGGAACACCAAUGGCGAAAGCACUCUUCUGGACGAAUAUUGACGCUCAUGCACGAAAGCUAAGGUAGCAAACAGGAUUAGAUACCCUGGUAGUCUUAGCCAUAAACGAUGUUCACUAGGUGUUGGGGCGUAAGCCUCGGUGCCGCAGCUAACGCAUUAAGUGAACCGCCUGGGGACUACGGCCGCAAGGUUG
rnacentral:rRNA from 1 species